rnacentral:pre_miRNA from 14 species
AGGUCCAACCUGGUUAGCUAUGAGUUAGUUUAAUCUCAGCUGGCAACUGUGAGAUGUCCCUAUCAUUCCUCACAGUGGUCUCUGGGAUUAUGCUAAACAGAGCAAUUUCCUUGACCUCCUGG